ACCCGGAAGGAGCCCCGAGGGGCCCGGUCGCCCCCAUCAGGACGCCCGCCAGGUGUCCACCUGAGCUCCACGCCCUUCACCUUGCCCCGCGGGGCUCUUUGGGAGGCGGGGUGCCAGCUCCGAGGUGUCCUCCCGCAGGAUAUAAACUGGGAAACCGAGGCCCGGGCCACGGUCCCAAACGCGGCCGGGACCCGAACCCACCUCACCUGAGCGAACGAUACCGGGGACUCAUCCUUUUUCAACACCUUUGCGGGAUCCAGCCCUCCAAGUGUAGAAACCAAGGCACAAAGAGGAGCUGUCAUUUACCUAAAGCACCCUGGCAGGGGUUUGGCAGAGCCAGAAUUUGAACCUAGAUGUCCUGACUUCGGAGAGUAUCAGCUCUUAACCACAGCACUGAUUUCACCAUAUGUAACAAAACAAAGUCUUGCUUUUUCAUCCAG